GACGAACGCUGGCGGCGUGCUUAACACAUGCAAGUCGAGCGGUAAGGCCCUUUCGGGGGUACACGAGCGGCGAACGGGUGAGUAACACGUGGGUGACCUGCCCUCAGCUCUGGGAUAAGCCUGGGAAACCGGGUCUAAUACCGGAUAUGACUCCAUGACGCAUGUUGUGGGGUANAAAGCCUUGUGCGGCUGAGGAUGGGCCCGCGGCCUAUCAGCUUGUUGGUGGGGUGAUGGCCUACCAAGGCGACGACGGGUAGCCGGCCUGAGAGGGCGACCGGCCACACUGGGACUGAGACACGGCCCAGACUCCUACGGGAGGCAGCAGUGGGGAAUCUUGCGCAAUGGGCGAAAGCCUGACGCAGCGACGCCGCGUGA
rnacentral:rRNA from 1 species